GCGGACGUGGCGAAAUUGGUAGACGCACUGGAUUUAGGUUCCAGCGGGUAAAACUGUGGGAGUUCGAGUCUCCCCGUCCGCACCA
rnacentral:tRNA from 1 species